CAAGAUAUCCAUGUAUGAGAACCUCCUUAGAUAAAAGACUUAGAAGACCAGUUUGUAGAACUAGAUAACUGGCUAAAUUAUAACGAGUGGCCACAACCAGAACAGCUACCACAAGAUGUUCCCCCUGCCUGAACCUAUGAAUAAUGAAGAAUUUGAUCAAAGAUUUACAGCAUGGGAAAAAGACUGUCCACAAGCAAAACCAUGCAUGGAGUGACCCAAAUAGCAGUUCAGAUUAGGCGGAACCAGUAAUUGACCGUACCAACAGAAGCGAUGGUGAAUAAUUAUCAAUAAAUAAGUGACAAGUGUGUGAAAUCACAUAUAGUACUUAAUAAGUAGUGUGAUUAUCUAUAAAGUAGAUUCUUUAGAAAUAAGGAUAUAAUAUAAAGUAGCAGUGAGUCAUAAAGUAAAAUUCAUUUAAGAUAAAAUGUAAUGAUAUGUGUUGUAUAUAUUUCCAAUUAAAUUUUCAUCAACCAUGAGAUUCAAGUACAUGAUAAAAGGUGGCAUUGCUUUCCAUUGAUGUUUGACUUAAAAAUAAUUAGACUAUUAUUAAAAACUAUAUUGCAUAACUAUUUUCGGGUGUAAAAGUGUUUUGCAUUCACAAUCAAUUAAAUUCAAGUAAUAAAAAAGAAAAUGAGUUAGUUUAAUAAAAUGUCUCAAGAAAGUAUACCAAAACUAAGCCAAAAUGCUUCAGUCCAUAAUGUCCAUAUUAAGACUAAACAAGAUGUCUCGAAGCAUAAUAUCCUCACAAUAUAUAAAAUGUCAUAUCCAAUCAAAUGUGUGCACAAUAUAUGGUAUAUAUUAUACACAUGCAUAAUAACAAAAUAUGAAUAAUACAUAAUCUCAUUUAAGUUGCAACUUAUAAUACAAACCAAAACUCCUACUGACUUAGCAAAUAAAAGAGGAUUCUAACAAUCUCAUAUGAGUCACAUGUUCCCUUAACACUUUUAGAGUUAAAGCUUUAGUAAGUAGAUCAGCUAACAUGAGUUCUGUAGGCAUGUACUCUAUUGAUAUAUAAGAUAAAACAAUUUGCUAUUUUAUAAAUAAGUAUUUAACAUUAAUAUGCUUGAAGCGUAAAGAAGUCCCAGUAUCGUGAGAGAAAGAAAUAGCUCCAGAAUUAUCACAGUAUAUUUUCAAUGGCCUCUGUACAUUCAACAAAAAAUCUAGUAUUGUGAUAAAAUUAUGUAUCCAUGAAGGUUGAAGUAUAGCCUCAAAACAUGCUAAUAUUCUGCCUCCAUUAUUGAAGAAGUUAUGAGUGUUUGUUUGGCACAUUUCCAUGAUAUGACUUCUCUUAAUAUCAUAAAGAUGUAACCAGAUGUAAAUUUCUUAUCUUCCAAACAUCCUGUUAAAUCAAUAUCAGAAUACUUAACUAUAUUCAAAUAAUUAUAUUGUUGAUACGUCAACGCAAAAUCUUUGAUGGCUUGCAAAUACCUGAGCACUUUUUUUGUAACCUUCUAAUGUUCAUAUCUAGGAUUGCUCAAGUAUCUCCCAAGUACUCUCAUUGAAAGCAAUAUUAGGGCGAGUACAGACUUGAGCAUACAGCAGGCUACCCAUAACUUAUGCACAUAGAAUUGUUUGUAUUCUACAUUUAUCUAUAUCAUCAACUGGACAUUGAGACUUAGAAAGUUUGUCACCCUUUGAAUUAGUGCUUUUCUAGGAGCACAAAACUCAAAAUACAAUCAAUAUAGGACUUUUGAAACAAUCUUAGAAUUGAUUUAGAUCUGUCACGAGGAAUCUUUAUCCUUAAUAUAUAAUAGGCUUCACCAAAAUCCUUCAUAUCAAAAUUAUAUGACAACAUCUAUUUUGUUUUAAGCAAGAUAUCAGUGUCAUUGGCGGCGAGCAAUAUGUUAUCUACAUAAAGCACCAAAUUGAUAUAUUUGCUCCCAUUAACCCUCAAGUAUAUGCAUUCAUCAACAAUGUUCCUCUUGGAAUUCAUAAGAGAUGGCAAUCUCAUAAAAUUUCAAUUAUUACUGUAUGGAUGCCUGUUUAAAUCCAUAAAUUGACCUUUUAAGCUUACCACCAUGUUUUCUUUACCAGGCUCAACAAAAUCAUCAGGUUGCACCAUGUACACGUCUUCAGACUAGCUUCUAUUAAAAAAAGCUAUCUUUACAUCCAUUUGAUGCAGUUUUAUAUUAGAAUGAGCUACUAAUGUCAUGAUAAUUUGGAAUGAGUCUUUUGUAAAAACAAGAGAGUAGGUUUCUGUGUAAUCAAUACCUUCUCUCUAAUUGAAACCCUUAGCCACCAGCCUAGUUGUAUCUUUCUACCUGACCUUUGGCAUCUCUCUUGGUUUUGAAAGCUCAUUUGCAACCAAUUAGCCUACAUCUAUCUGGCAAUUCAACUAAAUACCAAGCCCUCUUAUGGUACAUAGAUGUCAUUUCAUCAUAUAUCACGUGUCCAAGAUGAGGAUUCUGAACAACUGAUGGCCUCCUUAAAGGUAACAGGAGCAAAUGAUAAGCUGACAUCAAAAUCAUGUUUUUGUAAAUAAACCACAUAAUCAUAAAAAAUUACAGGUCUCCUAACCCUCUCGGAUCUCCUCAACUGCACAUCAGCAACAUCAUCAUCUACAGCCAUAGGCUCCAAAUCAUGAUGAGUUUUAGAAUUAAUAGAAGAAACAUCAAUAUGUGGUAAUCUCAGUGUAUAGGUCGAAAAAGAUAUGACAGGCAACACCAUAUGUACUUCUCUCAAUGUAAGAUUGUGAGCUCAGAACUUCUACUAUUAUGAUCAUCUUCAAAAUAAAUGGCAUGAUCAAACUCAAUGAUUCUAGUAAUGUGGAAAAGGCAAUAAAAUCUAAAACCCCUUGAGUUUAUACAGUAACCAAUAUAAUGACCACUGAUAGUUUUUAAAUCAAGUUUUUGUGAUUGCAGAUUAUAACGCCUCACUUUUGCUCUACAUCCCCAGAUAUUGAAAAGAAGAAGACUCAGCUUCUUGCCUAACUUUAAUUCAUAAGGAGUUUUGGGCACUAACUUGCUGGAUACUUGAUUCAAAAUAUAAGAUGCGGCUCUUAAAGCUUAGCAUACACCACACCAUGUUAAGAAGGGUACGAUUUCUUUUUUCUACAAUUCUGUUCUGUUCAAGAGUCCCAUGCAUUAUGUAUUGAGCUCAUUUUCUACAUUCCAUAAGAUAUCUAACUAAAGAUCCAGGAUUGCACCCAGUUUCAUCAUAUCGCUCAUAGUACUCACCAUCUUUGUAUGAUCUUACUACUUUAACCUUUUGGAAUUCAACAUUAACCUUAAAAGUUUAAAAAGCAUAUAAGGAUUCAGACUUUUCAAUAAGAAGUUCAACAUGACUAUCAUAAGAAAAGUCAUCAAUGAACAUGAUAAAAUAUUUAUAACCUCCAACAGUAGCAAGAGUAAACGACACACAAAUGUUUGUAUAUGUCAAACUCCAUAUCCUGUUGACUUUUUUUAGUCCUCUCUUUCUUAUUUUGGUAGUAAGUUUGCCCUUAACACAAUCAACAGAAGUGUCAAAAUUAAAGAAGUCUAAAUUGUGGAGAAUAUCAUCUUUCAUGGGCUUUUCCAUCCCCUGUUUGGAAAUGUGACCUAAUUGUUUAUGCCACGACAUAAAGGAAUUUUCAUCAACCCUCACACGAUUAGAGCUAACAACAUUCAUAACAUGAGCAUUGGACGAUGAUUCAGUAGUAGGAGGAAAUAAAUAAAUUAUAUAUAAGUCAUCAUAUAAAGUGUUAGAACUAACUAGCUCUGAAUUGCAGAAUAACUAAACUUUCUUGUCACUAAAAUAAAAAGUAUAGCCACAUUUAUCCAAAAUAUCAAGUUUCUCCUAAUAGAAGGAAUAUACGUAGUAUCUAAUAUAUUCAAAAAUUGCUUGUUAUUAGAUAUAGUAUCACAACUACUAUGCUUUCAACUCUAACUUUCACUCCAUUGUUUAUGAAUUCCAACCACUAAGUAUUAGAAGGAACAUUGGUAAUGUUAGAUUCAAAGCUCACAAAAGCUACAAGAAUACCUUUCUUUUCUAGCUAGCUUUGAAUUUCCUGCAUUCAACUCUCUUUUGCCCAAAUUUCCUAUAAAAAUGGCACUUUUCUUUAAGGCCAUCAGAAGUAGAACAAGAAGUGAUGUUAGAAUUACCACUUGAAGCUUUCUUUCCAAACUUUUACUUCUCCUUAAAAGGCUUGUUACUGCCCUUUGAAAUGCUUUUCUUCACACUUUCACUCUUUUAAGUAUUAGCCAUCAUGGUAGUGUGAGAUUUGCCUUUCUUCAAUGAUUCUUCUUCCUGUACCACAUGAGCAAUUAACUCAUUGAUCUUCCAAGUGUCUCUCAGAGUAUUGUAUUAGCUUCUCAGAUUGCCAAACUAUGGUGGAAGGGAUUCAAGAAUUUGGUAGACUAAGUAGUCAUCAAACAAGCUAACAUCCACGUCUUUCAGCUUCUUAUAGUAAUUGGUCAUCUUAAGAAUGUGUUCUCUCACCCUAGAAACAUUAUCAUACUAGGCAUUGGCAAGCAACCUUACAUAGUUACAAUUUUCAGCCUUGUUUACUUUCUUGAAAUUUCUUCAAACGACUAUCAAGUAAUCUUUAACAUUCUCACAUGCAGGAAUGUUAUCUCUAAUUGUUCUAUUAAUGGUGUAUCUCAUUGUGCCCAGAUAGUGUAUAUUAGAAUCAUCCCAAGCCAUCCAUUCUGCCUUUUCGGCAACAAUGCUCUUAUAUGUGGGCUUGAAUGGUUCCUCCACUCUUAACACCAAGUCUUUGUUCAAUAUAGAUAAGUAAAACAUAACAGACUCACACUAGUCCUCAUAAUUGUCCCAAUUAGAGUUUUGAUGGAGGCAACUUAAAGAAAAGAAAGAAUAUUUAAAGUUGAGGAAUAAAAAACAAGUAAUAUUAAACACGUGAAAACAAAAUCAUGCUUUAGACAAUGAUUCCUCAUUCUUAGUUUCUUCAAUGGCAACACAAUUUGUUAGGUAUCCUUUAAUAAUAUAAAAGUGUUCUAACCCAAAGAUGAAACAAAUAAGUUAAAUAUAACACUAACAUUGACCUAUCACCGACAGAGUAAUUAAGUCAUUCAGUAGAAAAUACCCAACAAAUCUCUGUCUACCCAAGCAUCCUACUAAGUUUAUUAUGAUUGGUCCUACGACAAGUAGACACACACACGCUCUAAAUUGAAGUUUGGUCAUGAAUAUACUUUUAUACAUUAAUAAAUUUGAGACUAAAUAAAUUUUAUACAACAUAAUUAAAGUUUUCACUAAGAUAUCAAAUUAAAUAAACUAUCUAUAUGCCUCAAGAAAAUAUAUGAAUAUCAUGCCCAUAAAAAAAAGAAUGACGGAUUAUUGUAUAUUUAAAUUUCUAGAAAAUCACAAAAAAGUUGUAAAAGUUUUAGACUAAAAUGAAUAAUUUUCAGAACUAUAGAAACUUUUUUUAAUACUAAAACUUUUGGCCCAAACUGUAAAUAAAAUACAAGAAGUAUCCAGGCCAUAACAUAAUUUUCAAAACAUUAGACACACAAUGAUAUUUUGCCAUGAUGACUUUCGGCCAAGGACCUUUCUGAAAGAUUUACAAACAUAUUGAGCUAUAACAAAAUUUCUGUGGGUAAAUAUUUCCUCAAAAUUGAGCCAUAACAAAAUUUACAUAAAUAUAAGGAUCAGACGAUAAUUUCACUGCACUUCAUCUUCUUCCUCACGAUGGAGCUCCAGUUAUCUACAAUAAGCUACAGUGAACGUUGUUCGAACAACCCGAUAUUGGCCACCAAAAAUUAUGAAAAAAUCAUAUGUUUACUCCACAAACAUCACCCACAUAUUAUUUAACAACCAUUUACUCAAAUAUGCCCAAAAUCAAAAAAUCCGAAAAUAAAGAAAAAUGCCAUGGGUGAGCCAACGUUUGAUUCAUCAACAAAAUUCGCCAUGGUUUACAAAGAAAUGUAUAACCAUAAAAUCUUAUACCAAUUACUGUAAUAAAUUCGAGUUUUAUGUCCUUAAUCUUGCAUUUCUAAUUAAACACAUGCAUUGGGUAAAAAUUCAAAAUUUACCUUGAUUAGCCAUGAAUCUCAGCUUGUGGACUUGUUAAGAAGAUUCUACAGAUUGCCACUAACUGAAUCCAAACCAUUGCAACUUGUUGCCUUUCCUCAACCCAUGAUAUGAAUGAUUUGCACAGCCACUGCACACACACAAACGGCAGAGAAAGGGAGACACUCAUAGUCAUGGCC
rnacentral:lncRNA from 1 species